AGCCAGCAGCCGCGGUAAUACGGAGGUGGCAAGCGUUGUUCGGAUUCAUUGGGUGUAAAGGGCAUGUAGGUGGUUAGGUAAGUCGAAUGUGAAAUCCUUUGGCUCAACCAUAGAAUUGCAUUCGAAACUGCCUGACUUGAGGUCAGGAGAGGAAAGCGGAAUUCCCGGUGUAAGAGUGAAAUCUGUAGAGAUCGGGAGGAACACCAGUGGCGAAGGCGGCUUUCUGGACUGAAUCUGACACUGAAAUGCGAAAGCUAGGGGAGCAAACAGGAUUAGAUACCCUGGUAGUCCUAGCCGUAAACGAUGGACACUAGGUGUCGGGCCGCAAGGCUCGGUGCCGCAGUUAACACAUUAAGUGUCCCACCUGGGGAGUACGGCCGCAAGGCUGAAACUUAAAGGAAUUGGCGGGGGAU
rnacentral:rRNA from 1 species